rnacentral:rRNA from 1 species
UACGGAGGGAGCAAGCGUUACUCGGAAUUAUUGGGCGUAAAGAGCUCGUAGGCGGCUCGUCGCGUCGACCGUGAAAACCCGCGGCUUAACUGCGGGCUUGCGGUUGAUACGGGCGGGCUAGAGUUCGGUAGGGGAGACUGGAAUUCCUGGUGUAGCGGUGAAAUGCGUAGAUAUCCUAAGGAACACCGGUGGCGAAGGCGGCACGCUGGACACCUUCUGACGCUGAGGCGCGAAAGCCAGGGGAGCAAACGGG